GCUGUCUUCCUCAACAAUCCUACAAGCGGUUCCAUCAACCCGAUUUGGCAGAGAAGGCAACUGGAAUCUGCCUAAAGUCUCGGUUAUUCAAGCUAGAGCUUUCCUGUGUCCUCAAAGUUCACGUGUGUGCACAUGUGUGUGUGUGUGCAUGCACACGCAUGUGUACAUGUAGUGGUGGAGGUCAGAGGUCAAUUCAGGUGUGAGACAGGGUCUCUCAUGGGGACCCAGGGCUCACAGAUUAGGCGAGGCUGCCUGGCCAGCAAGCCCAAAGGAUCCUUUUGUCUUUAUCUUCCCAGAGCUUGGGUUAAAGGCGCAUGCUUCUCACACCUGGCCGGGCUGUUUCUGUGGGAGCUGGGAUUGAACCGUGGUCCUCAUGCUUGUGAGGCAAGCACUUUACUGAAUGUAUCAGCUCCCCAGCCUGAAGUUCACGCAGCAGGGCACGAUGACUCUUCCCCCUCUUUACUUCCAGGGGGGUUGUUACUUAUUUUGCCAAGCGGGAGCCAGCUCAGACUAGCUGGUCGGUGGAUGUUUAUACAAUAGGGAUUGGUAACCUCUAUGAAUCAGGGGUCUCCAUCUCCCCCACAGGAUGAGGUCUUCUCUGUGACUGUAAAAACACCAACAGAGCCUUGACCCCGAUGAGCACGGGGCCGCCCAGGGUCCACACCUGGUGGUCACACAGGGCUAGUUGCAGACCACACUAGGGUAGACACAUCUGUUUGGAGAGGAGGAGGGUGUGCACAGGAGAGAGCAGGGGACUGUAGUACCGGCUCUUUACACAAGAACAAAGGGCCAGGGUUUUAGUCAUGGGAACUUCCUGGGGAGGCAUUGAACCUUGUCAUUACGUCGGCCUUUCAAAACAGAGGAGCUAUUCUGGAACAACUAAGGUGGCCUGUGUUGGGAGUGAAGGGGGAUGCACAACACAGGGGAGGGGUGACCUCCUCUUCUGAGGAGUGACUGUGACUUCCAGGCUGAGGUCUGGACGUGGGAGCAGUUUGUGAAUCAGAGUCUCCACCCAGGACCACACUCGGGGUCCUUUCUGCCGGCUAGAUGGUGCCCCGCGGUGAUGGACGGUCAGGUGAUGUCUUACAGUGACUGGAUGACCAGGUGGUGCCCUGCAGUGACUGGGUGGUCAGGAGGUGCCCCGCAAUGAUAGAACCCCUAGAACAUCAGAGGCCACAGGAGCACCUAGAUCUCUGAACCUGCUUUGGGUUGUCAUCACUGGGAGACCACAGGCAGGCAAAUCCUGGGCUCUUGCUAUGUGGCCCAGGCCGGCCUGAAACUUCUGGGCGAUUCUCCUUCCUCUGCCUUCCGAGUGCUGAGAUCACAGGUGUGUGCCGCCAGGCCUGUUUCUCCUGUCUCCCUGUGCAGAGCUGAUUCACAGGCACCGGGAACAUCUAAGCAGUGUGAUCGUGAUCCUCGAGGCUCAGAAGGAAAGCGAAAGUGAAGGAUUAACAAUAAACAGAUGCUGAUAAGGAGCCUGGUAUCUCCGCACUCCACUCCAGCACCACCCCACACCCAUCUUAUCUGCUCGCCCAACCAAGGCCAACUAAGAUUUUCUUGGGUGCCAAGUGCCACAAGAGACACCGAAGAUGGCAGUGAACAGCACUCUAUUGUAUGGCCCUUUGGAGGUCCCAGGAAGGUGAAAGACUUUGAACGCCUAGUUGGUGUGCAGAAAGAGCUACAAAGGAGCGUGUGGGGUCUUUAAGGAGGCUCAAGUUUUGUUCUGGUGACAACAAUGACAUUCAAGAUGACAUCACCCAGUCUCACCAACAGGAUGCCUUUGUUCUGGGAGUUCAGACUCUGCCAGCCACCAAGCCCAUUUCUACCCUUCCUGAAAUGCAAGACAGAUCAUCUUGACCAACUUCCUCUUCAUAAGAGAUCAGCCUGACCAGCUUCCUCUUCAUAAGAGAUCAGCCUGACCAGCUUCCUCUUCAUAAGGGAUCAGCCUGACCAACUUCCUCUUCAUUAUAGAUCAUCUUGACCAACUUCCUCUUCAUAAGAGAUCAGCUUGACCAACUUCCUCUUCAUAUAAUAACUGGGGAAACUGCCCAGAGCAGGGAGCAAGCUGGAAAGAUCCUGUGGUCUUAGGUGGAUAAGGUGUAUAUGCGCCAUAGUUUACAUUGCUCCAGAGGGACAGAACUGCUGGUAAUAAUUGAUAGCAUUUAGCACCUUAUAUUUGGUUUGGGGUAGGUUCUUUUCAUUCAUUUGGUUUUUAAGAUAGUCUCAUGCACUCCAGGUUGGCCUCAAAUUCAUUUUGAGGAUGACCUUGAACUCCUGAUUCUCCCGUCUCCCCUCCCCGAGAGCAGGGUUAGUACUGUUUGGCUCCAAUCCCAGUUUAUUCUGUGCUGGGAAGUCAAACCCAGGUGUUUGGGCAAGCUAAGGAAACACCUAACCAACUGAGCAAUAACCCCAGCCCUCCUUGUGUUUUGAGACGGGGUCUCACUUUGUAGUCCAUGCUGGGCUUGAACUCCUGGUGAUUCUCCUGCCGCAGCCUCCUGUAAGGCUGGGGUUAUAGGUGUAGCUGCCACGUCCGCUCCAGUUUGUGUUCAUCCCCCCCUGCCGCUUCCUAGCCUGAGUUCUGCCAACUCUGUCUCCAAGGCUUCGGACAACACCCGCCCCUGCCCACCGAUCUCCUGGUCAGUGGCAAACUCCUUAUAGAGCAGGCGCAGACUGAGGGCUGGUGUUUUCCUUCCUGAGACUGGACUUGGGUCAAAAUCAACAGGAGCUCGAUUCCCUGACGUGGCUCCAUGUUUCCUUUCCUGAACUCUGUGUUUUGUGCUUAGUGUUCUUCCAGCAGUUCGAAGGUGUCUGACCUUCUGGGCGCGAAGAUAAGUGCACUAAAGACCCACACAGGGAAUGACUCACACGGGGGUGGAUCCUGAAGCCAGGGGUCCCUGCUCUGCUUGUAGAUGGAGUGAAUUGGGGUAUUUCUAGAAGGAGGCUUAAAGUCUCUCUCUCCCUCUCUCUCAUUGCUCUCAAGCUGGCCCCAAACUUGGUGUGUACUUGAGGUGACCUUUAACUCCUGAUUCUCCCGCCUCCGCUCUUUGGGUGCUGGGAUUACAGGCACGAACCAUCAUACCUAUUUUAUGUGGUUCCGGGGAUUAAACCCAGGGUCUUCUAUACCAAAGGAGCCAUGUACAUCAAACCAGGCACAGCGAUGCUUGCUCUAAUCUCAGCAUUGGAAAGGUAGAGGCAGAAGGAUCAGGGUCAUUCUCAGUUACGUAGUAAGUCUGAAGCCAGACGACAAUAUGUGAGACCUUGUCUCAAAGAAACCAAACAACUACCCAACAUCAGUGAGCUAUCUAUUCUUGUCUGUUGGCCCGGCUAUGGUCAUUUCCAGAAAGGAAUAGAAGUGUAGAGAAAAAGCCACACAAUUGGUAGGUAGGGCUUGGGGCUGCAGGACAUGAAAUUCCAGGCCACGCUGAACCUCCCACAGCACCCUGUGUUCCUAUCCAGUCUUCCGUCUACUGACUAACCUCACUCCGAUGACUGUGUAGAUAGGCUCAGCUCAGAUGUGGGCUCUGACUCAGCUGUGACCACCCUGGGCUAUAGGGACCCACAGCUAGGGAGGGGCUCUUAGUGGGCGUCUUUAUUCCAUUUCCAGCACAGUGCCUGGAACGCAGUGGCAGACAAAAGGGUGGGGGAGGAUUGCAGGUUAGAGAUAAAGGUGGUCGCACGGAGGUUUGGGGAAGGCUGUGAUGUGCGGCUAAAUCCAUGGCCCUGAAAGUCCUCGGCAGGUGGCUGGGAGGCACCUUGGCAUCGAUUGUAUAGAAACAGGUUACAUCUGAAGACAUGGUUCAUCGGCUUAGCAUCUCAACCUCGAUAAAUGACCCAGACUGUGCUCACGUUAAUCUACUCAGGAGACUGGGUAUCUCCUAGCAUCCUUACACAAACAAAAUUACACACCCCAUUCUAACAGAGGGUUUUCCCUUUCAUCUUUAUUAACCAGCGUUUGCCUUGGGCCACUUUUGUCUCCUUCCUCACCAGAGGCCGUCCUCUGUCCCUCUGAGACACACAUCCCUCCCUUCCUUCUCUCCCUUGUCCCUUCCCCUUCUCCCACAUCCUCCAUCUCCUGCCUUUCAUCCCUAGGGGCAAAUAAAUCUCUUUCGUGCUAAGAACUUUGUGCUGAAUACCUGUCCCUUCAAGUCACAGCUCACAGAAGCUGGGAACCUGGAGCUGUGGAGAUGUGAGGAGAGUCUCCGGAGUUGGGGGGGGGGGAGCUCUAGGGGAAGAACAAUGCUGGUGCCGCUGCAGCUGCUGUUGCACAGAGCCAGGACCCCCAAACACUACCGAGAGACCAGAUCCAGUGCAAAAGCAAAGAGUCUUUUUUUUUUUUAAUUAUUAUUUUAAUUAUAGUAGCAUGCUGGGUCUGACCAUCCUACACAAAGGCAAGACGGUGAUGACCCCAAGGAGGUGGGGGCUUCUUUUAAGCGUUACUGAGGGGAGUGUCUAAGGAAGUUAGGUCAUUUUAAAUAUGAUCGGUUUAAGCAAGUG